rnacentral:rRNA from 1 species
GACGAACCGUGCGAACGUUGUUCGGAAUCACUGGGCUUAAAGGGCGCGUAGGCGGGCAGUCAAGUCUGUGGUGAAAUCCUCCGGCUCAACCGGAGAAUAGCUGGAGAUACUGACUGUCUCGAGGGGGGUAGGGCAUGUGGAACUUCCGGUGGAGCGGUGAAAUGCGUAGAUAUACGGAAGGAACACCAGUGGCGAAGGCGGCUUCCUGGACCAAUACUGACGCUGAGGUGCGAAAGCGUGGGGAGCAAACAGG